rnacentral:rRNA from 1 species
AUGGCUUUCCACCUAAUAUCGAUAAGUUUGCCUUCUAGGCCUCACCCCACCGAGACCGAGAUUGAAGAACAGAUGUUGAGCCUAGAGGCAAGCAUCUGUUCCUCCACGACCAUCGGCAUGAUGUGCGAGGGUCUGAGGAGGCUUGGAGACAUCUAUAAUGGCGUCGAAGAGAUCAUCUGCCUUCCAAGCAGCCAAGUCUGUGCCUACCAGCAGAGGACGGUGUUGGAUGAAGAAAUGGACGGUUCUCUCGAGCUGCUAGAUCUAUGUGGCACCAUGCAAGAGAUCUUCGCCGAGAUGAAGGCCAUCAUCCAAGAGCUGCAACUGUCUCUAAGGAAAGGGGAUGAUGCGGCUGCUCAAGCCAGUAUCCAAUCUUACACCCACUUGGCGAAGAAGGCCAAGAAUCAUUUCAAGAAGACCACGAAGUAG